UGGGGAAUUUUGGACAAUGGGGGAAACCCUGAUCCAGCCAUCCCGCGUGUGCGAUGAAGGCCUUCGGGUUGUAAAGCACUUUUGGCAGGAAAGAAACGUCGCGGGUUAAUACCCCGCGAAACUGACGGUACCUGCAGAAUAAGCACCGGCUAACUACGUGCCAGCAGCCGCGGUAAUACGUAGGGUGCAAGCGUUAAUCGGAAUUACUGGGCGUAAAGCGUGCGCAGGCGGUUCGGAAAGAAAGAUGUGAAAUCCCAGAGCUUAACUUUGGAACUGCAUUUUUAACUACCAGGCUAGAGUGUGUCAGAGGGAGGUGGAAUUCCGCGUGUAGCAGUGAAAUGCGUAGAUAUGCGGAGGAACACCGAUGGCGAAGGCAGCCUCCUGGGAUAACACUGACGCUCAUGCACGAAAGCGUGGGGAGCAAACAGGAUUAGAUACCCUGGUAGUCCACGCCCUAAACGAUGUCAACUAGCUGUUGGGGGCCUUCGGGCCUUGGUAGCGCAGCUAACGCGUGAAGUUGACCGCCUGGGGAGUACGGUCGCAAGAUUAAAACUUAAAGGAAUUGACGGGGGUGC
rnacentral:rRNA from 1 species